ensembl:rRNA 5S_rRNA 5S ribosomal RNA
AUUAUCAGUCAUAUCACCCUGCAGCCCAAGACGGGUUAUUUACUGAAGCAAAGCAGGGCUGAGCCUGGUAAGUACCUGCAUGAGAGACUACAUGUGAAAAUUAGGUUGCUGUUGGAA